CAGUUUUGAGCCGUAAGUGUCGAAUUGGCCGGGGUGAAAUUUACAAAUAAGAGGCAAUUUACGGAAUGAAGUGCAUAUUUGAACUCCUAAAUAAUAAUAAUUGCUAGAAUUGAAGUUUCAGCGGCUAGAAUUGAGUUUCACUUAUUUAAAAAAAAAUCAGUUGAGUAGCCUUGAUCUUGAUAGUAUGACGUAAUGACUUGCAGGAGCGUAUACAUGCUUCCUCUGAGCUAGCUUAAAGUGGGGUUGUCAUUUUAGCAGGGACCUCAGGAAAACUGGAACAGUGAAGAAACGGUACGGAUGGCACAUAUAUUUGAGCUUAUUUUCAGAUUUUACAGUGUUACUGGAGUAUGGAACAGUGUAGCAGUUGGGGCUAUCAGUUUCAGGAAAUUUUCUGCAGCGAUUUAAAAAUUGGCAAAUUUAGCUUUUUUCGUCAUCAGUUUCCGCGACCGGGAGAGCACAAAAUUCAGGUCUUGUAAACAGAAAACUAGAUAUUAGAGAUGUAUUGUAGAUGGUUUGUAACGAUAGACAUACAGUGAUGUUAAUGUUGCAAUAUCUUUAUUUCAGGUGUGUGGUUACAGACUUUUGUGUGAGGUUUUGAAAGUUAGGUAGGCGACUCUAGGCUGAGGAGCUCAGAAAACUGUUUACUGCCUCCUUAAGAGCAAAUCUUGAAAAUUUGUGUGUGGUUACAGACUUUUGUGUGAGGUUUUGAAAGUUAGGUAGGCGACUCUAGGCUGAGGAGCUCAGAAAACUGUUUACUGCCUCCACAAACAAAACAA